AAAUUGAAGAGUUUGAUCAUGGCUCAGAUUGAACGCUGGCGGCAGGCCUAACACAUGCAAGUCGAACGGUAGCACAGAGAGCUUGCUCUCGGGUGACGAGUGGCGGACGGGUGAGUAAUGUCUGGGAAACUGCCCGAUGGAGGGGGAUAACUACUGGAAACGGUAGCUAAUACCGCAUAACGUCGCAAGACCAAAGUGGGGGACCUUCGGGCCUCACACCAUCGGAUGUGCCCAGAUGGGAUUAGCUAGUAGGUGGGGUAACGGCUCACCUAGGCGACGAUCCCUAGCUGGUCUGAGAGGAUGACCAGCCACACUGGAACUGAGACACGGUCCAGACUCCUACGGGAGGCAGCAGUGGGGAAUAUUGCACAAUGGGCGCAAGCCUGAUGCAGCCAUGCCGCGUGUAUGAAGAAGGCCUUCGGGUUGUAAAGUACUUUCAGCGAGGAGGAAGGCGUUGUGGUUAAUAACCACAGCGAUUGACGUUACUCGCAGAAGAAGCACCGGCUAACUCCGUGCCAGCAGCCGCGGUAAUACGGAGGGUGCAAGCGUUAAUCGGAAUUACUGGGCGUAAAGCGCACGCAGGCGGUUUGUUAAGUCAGAUGUGAAAUCCCCGGGCUCAACCUGGGAACUGCAUUUGAAACUGGCAAG
rnacentral:rRNA from 2 species